rnacentral:rRNA from 1 species
GACGAACGCUGGCGGUGUGCUUAACACAUGCAAGUCGAACGGUAAGGCCCUUUCGGGGGUACCCGAGUGGCGAACGGGUGCGUAACACGUGAGUAACCUGCCCUCAUCUCUGGGAUAACAGUCGGAAACGGUUGCUAAUACUGGAUAUGAGCUUGCAAGGCAUCUUGUGGGUUGGAAAGAUUUUUUUGGUUGGGGAUGGACUCGCGGCCUAUCAGCUUGUUGGUGAGGUAGUGGCUCACCAAGGCUUCGACGGGUAGCCGGCCUGAGAGGGCGACCGGCCACAUUGGGACUGAGAUACGGCCCAAACUCCUACGGGAGGCAGCAGUGGGGAAGAUUGCACAAUGGACGGAAGUCUGAUGCAGCAACGCCGCGUGCGGGAUGACGGCCUUCGGGUUGUAAACCGCUUUCAAUUGUGACGAAGCUUUUUGUGACGGUAGCAGUAGAAGAAGCACCGGCUAACUACGUG